UAUUCGAACCACGCCGCACUUCAGUCUCCAUCACGCCGCGUAGUACGCCAUUGAUGCUCUUACUGCUAGCGUUGUUGGAUUCCCGCCAGACACCAUUUUCAAGGGUUUGAUAAGAAGUUCUUUUCGUUUUGACUGUUGAGAGGAACUUUAAACAUAGCCAUGGACUCUCCUAGGCGGAAAGAUUCACCCUCAGGGAAUUACCGCCACCAUAAGGAUAGUGUACGAAGCAGAUCACCUGGGCAUCGCCAUCAAUCACGUCGUUCUCGCUCAUAUGAUGAGGAUAGAGGAGAAAGAAGACAUCAUGAAAGACGUGAUAGAGGAGACAGAGGUGGUGACAGAGGAGACAGAGGUGGUGACAGAGGAGAUAGAGGAGGUGAUCGCUACCAUAGUCGUUCAAGAUCUCCAAUGUCAGGAAGAAAACGACACAGUAACAUGCAUGGUAGCAGUCAUCGUGGUGGUGGAGGAGGUGGUGGGGGUGGUGGGCCACCAGAUAAUCCAGAACCUACCCGAUGCCUUGGUGUAUUUGGAAUGGGACUUUAUACAACAGAAACUGAACUACAGCAUGUGUUUGCUAAGUAUGGUCCUCUAGAGAAAGUACAAGUUGUUAAAGAUGCCAAGACUGGACGUUCCCGAGGAUUCGCCUUUGUCUACUUCGAGAGUUUAGAAGAUGCCAAGUUGGCAAAAGAGCAAUGCACAGGCCUAGAAAUUGAUGGUCGACGCAUCAGGGUGGAUUACUCAAUUACUCAGCGACCCCAUACUCCUACUCCAGGCAUCUAUAUGGGAAGACCAACCAUAACAAGUGGGCGGUAUGACAAAUAUGACCGUAAUGAAAGAGGAUACCGUCGGUCACCUUCGCCCUACUAUGAGAAAAACUAUCGUUCCAGCCGCCGAGGAUAUGAACGCUCACGCUCACGAUCCUAUUCACCACCAAGACAAAACUCGCGAGAAGUUUUGGAAGAGAGAAGGUUGAAAUUUAAAUGAGUCAAGAACAGAAAAUGUGAAAACAGCUCAGAAAAGGAAAGCCGCAGCUCAGAAAACAGAAAAAUCGUACGGUCGGUUUGUCGUGAAAAGGGGGAAAGUUCAUUCACUGAGAAAAGGUGUCAAUCCGAAGAGGUCGCGUUGAAAAUUAACAACUCAACCGCUACCACGUUCGAUGUCGGCAAGCGCAGCACUCAAAAUUAUUUUCCAAGCUUCUGAGAACGGAAGAUUAAAGCUUUCUUCUGAUGUGGAGUGAUUGAUUCGAGCAUCAUUCGCUCUGAUUGAAUUGAUCGAAAUCCAGGUCUGGCAGCUGUGAUAAGGUCCAACUCUGUACUGUUCUUUGACCGUGAAGUUUGUUGGGACCGACUUGCAAUUGUUAGAAGAGAAAAAUUAAGUACACUCGACUGAACAGAGGUUCAUCGUACCGUGUGCACGGAUCCAUGCAGAAAUAAAUCAGUCGGAGGAUCGUCGUUCACAAUCAGCUCCGCCUCACGGUCCCAGUUGAUACAUUGAAGCCGCCCGCCUUUCAAACCAGUCAUUCGAAGCAAACAAAAUAUUAAUAUAAUGUCAAGCUGAAAUUGACAAACGUCGUGCACGCGUGAAGCAGGAUGUAUAAUCGAUAUCUAUUUGUAAUGAUAGCCACUCAAUCUCAGCCACCCUUUGUCUGUUCCGUUUAUCUUUUCAAUUUUUCGUUUUUUGAAUAGACUUUAUUGUCCUUAA
rnacentral:misc_RNA from 1 species